CCACAGCAGCCACCUACUCAACCCCUCAAUCACACAAUCCCACAAAGAAGAGUAGCAUGUUAUUCAGAUUAUGAGGGUGAGCAGACCAUAUAUUCAUUCAGCCAAGAAUACUCAUUUAGCCAGUCACAACCAGGGGGUUCACAAGCUUCACAAACAAUAACUAGCCAAGCCUUACAGGACCUAGCAAUGGCUAGAAGGAUGCAAAGGAGAAAAUAGUUGAAAGUUGCUUUGUACCUGAUUAAUGGAAGGUGAUGAAGUUGAUUUUUUUUUGCUGCUGAUGGAAGAACACCAAUAUCAGAAUUUUUUCGUGUUGUGGAAGUUCUUAUUUUUUGCUGCUCCUGAUUUCUUGAGAGAGAUGAUUUUUUGAAUGUUAAUAUAUCUGUUAAUAUGGUUCAGUUUUAAAUAUAUAUGUUCAUUUGUUACCGUUGAAGAAUUUCGCUGGCUUUUUUGAAUUAAAGGGUACUGAAUU